ensembl:lncRNA
CAUUCGCUCACGCCCAGGUCACCGUGGCCAAUGAGAUCUUCUGUUUCCUGGGGCAACCACCUGUCUUCCUAUUCUGUCCCACUGUACUGUAGCUCUCUGUGCAGUCCAAUUAUGUCAAAGUCUUCAUACCUGCUGACUAUUGGGGAUGAUCUUCUCCCUGGCAUCUCUGUCAUUUGGACCGGUGAGAGACAUUUUCCAUGUGUCCUUUAAAAAUUCACACUCAGUGUCCGUUUUUACAGAAACCACAUUUCUAACAUUCACAUAUUUGGUCAUCACUCUGCUAUAUGGGAAUAAGGUGAUAUGACGGGAACUGAAUCCUGAAUCACUAGCUGAGGUCCAGUCGGUGCUUCGACGGCCGCCCCUCAUUUGGGAUAACCUCCAUGCUAAUGAUUAUGACUCCCGACGUGUCUCUCCCCCCCCACCCCCACAGGAGGCCACAGAAGGUCAAAACAUCCUUUCUAUUAAAUAUAUUCUAUUUA